rnacentral:rRNA from 1 species
GAUGAACGCUGGCGGCGUGCCUAAUACAUGCAAGUCGAGCGAACGGACGAGAAGCUUGCUUCUCUGAUGUUAGCGGCGGACGGGUGAGUAACACGUGGAUAACCUACCUAUAAGACUGGGAUAACUUCGGGAAACCGGAGCUAAUACCGGAUAAUAUUUUGAACCGCAUGGUUCAAAAGUGAAAGACGGUCUUGCUGUCACUUAUAGAUGGAUCCGCGCUGCAUUAGCUAGUUGGUAAGGUAACGGCUUACCAAGGCAACGAUGCAUAGCCGACCUGAGAGGGUGAUCGGCCACAAUGGAACUGAGACACGGUCCAGACUCCUACGGGAGGCAGCAGUAGGGAAUCUUCCGCAAUGGGCGAAAGCCUGACGGAGCAACGCCGCGGGAGUGAUGAAGGUCUUCGGAUCUUAAAACUCUGUUAUUAGGGAAGAAAAUCUGUGUAAGUAACUGUGCACGUCUUGACGGUACCUAAUCAGAAAGCCACGGCUAAAUACGUG